GACGAACGCUGGCGGCGUGCUUAACACAUGCAAGUCGAACGAUGAAGCCUAGCUUGCUAGGUGGAUUAGUGGCGAACGGGUGAGUAAUACGUGAGUAACCUACCUUUAACUCUGGGAUAAGCCUGGGAAACUGGGUCUAAUACCGGAUACGACCAAUCUCCGCAUGGGGUGUUGGUGGAAAGCGUUAUGUAGUGGUUAUAGAUGGGCUCACGGCCUAUCAGCUUGUUGGUGAGGUAACGGCUCACCAAGGCGACGACGGGUAGCCGGCCUGAGAGGGUGACCGGCCACACUGGGACUGAGAAACGGCCCAGACUCCUACGGGAGGCAGCUGUGGGGAAUAUUGCACAAUGGGCGCAAGCCUGAUGCAGCGACGCCGCGUGAGGGAUGACGGCCUUCGGGUUGUAAACCUCUGUUAGCAGGGAAGAAGAGAAAUUGACGGUACCUGCAGAGAAAGCGCCGGCUAACUACGUG
rnacentral:rRNA from 1 species